CCCAGGGCAGGAGGAUGUGUUGCAGCAAAGACAGCAGCGAUUCAGUGCAACACUGAGCAGCCCAACACUGCUUAGUUCCUCUUCCUCUGUUUCCCUGCCAUCCAGAGAUGGACCAAAGGACUAAAAGACAAUACUUCUGAUUUUCACUGCUCUACCAGCCACCACAGUUACUCUUUUAAGAAAUGUGGGUCCAAAAAACCUCCCUAAAUGCCCUGGAUUGUAUAGGACCUGUGGAGCUGCUGUGGACACUGCAAGAGCAAGUUGGACUGGAUGACCUUCAAAUGUCCCUUCCAACCCAAAUUAUUCUGGGAUUCUGUGGGAGCAUCUUCUUUCUGUUCAUAAAGUCAACUAAUAAUGACAAACCACCAGCAUCUUUAUUUAGGAUGGAUGGACUGCUGAACUUUGUUUCCACUGUCAGGAACUCUGGGAAAUCUAUUUUCAUGGCAAUGCAAUGACACCCCAAGUCAUAGUUAGUUUCUCUGUGCUCAUGCUACCUUGGAGAUUUCAGCUUUACAGAUCCAGAAACCGAAAUAUAGAAAGGAAUUACUUGUCCAAGGUUACAGGGCAGGUUGUGGCAGAAACAAGAAUAGAAACUGUGGCUGGCAAGGCACACCACCUUUUCUAAUUAACAGACCAAAGUAUCUUUUCAUUCUCCAGCUUCCUCUAAUGUGUCCUGGCCAUUACAGAGCAAAUUCAAGGUUCUUUGUUUUCUUUUCCUGAAUUCAAAGGAAAAGACAGCUUUGCCUAGAUGUCAUUGUUAGUUAAAGGAAAUACUUUGAAUUUAAGGAGGAAUCAAAACAGUUCCAUUUAAUUACUGAUGUAAUUUUGCUUGCCUGGUGCAGAAAAGCAGUUUUAUCAAGUUGACACAGAAGAGCUUUAUACACCUAAUUGUUGUCCUUGGAAUAAAAAACUAUAUCACUUAGAAAUUAAACAGAAAGAAAUGUUCUGAAUCUUAAAAUUGUGCAGAAGCUUGAUAUAUAAUGGAAAAUGAUGAAUUGUUUCUAGAUUACAAUAAUUGUGCUCCUGCUUUUCCAUGCUAAUGAAUACUGAAAGAAGAGUAUAUCAUCAAAGCGUAAUCAAAUCCAGCUUGUUUUGUAAAUGAUUAACAGACACAGAAGAAGAACUUGGGCUUUCUCAAUCUCACACUAAUACUUCAGUGAGACACUGAAGUGCUCUGCAUUAACAAAGCUCAGAAAUUAUAUAAAUGCAAAUAUAAAAAACAUCCCUCACUUCAUUACAUUAAUAGAAGAUCCAUACAUGGGCACGAAAGUAAAAGAGUGCGUCACCUGAAGUGGACUGUGGCAAAUUAACACAGUAGGACGGGAAAUACAAAUUGCAUAAUGUGUUUAUGCCACCUGAGUGAUGUUUAACACGCCGUGGGUAGGGGAUGAUCGACUGAACAGCGACGUACGAAAGGCACUGCCUGAUCAGAGCCCUCAUUAGCUGCAAACUGAAGUGCCCUGGUGAUGGAAAUCAAUACCACCUCAGCAUCAGCAUAAAGGCAGAGAAACUUCAUUCUGCAAACCCUCAUUUGUGGCAAUUGAGGUUUCUCGUGCAGUUUGUCCCUGUUCAAGUAAAAGGGACUGACAUCACAGCAAAGAUUUAUAGGGUGAGAUCCACAACGGAGUUUUCACUCUGGUUUUACCCAUAAUGAAGAGUAUUGAGUCUCAAGGACUGAUUAAAGCAAACUGAGCAGGUUAUACCACGAGGACAGCUCAUUUUCCCUUAUUAAAUGGAAAGAACGCAAUGUAAAAAGGACCAUGAGAUUUAAGGAACAAAACUGGUCAAUCAGUUGAUACAGUUCUGCCUGGGCAGGUCUAAACGAGAAGCAUUAACAGGAAAAGAUGAGCACAUCUGCAUGGAGGCAUCUUACUCUACUGAUGCAUACAAAUGGGAUUUCUGAAGACUGGCAACUGUAAAUUGUCAAGGACAGAAACACCCAAGUAUUUCACAAAAGUGCUUCACAGCUGCCAGGAAACUCCAAUGUACAACUGAUCUUUAUGAGCUUGAACUCUUAUCAGUGAAAAUCUGUAAUGAAAUAAAUUAUUUAUUCUAGAUCUUGGGGUAGGUGUGGAGGGGAACUGCAGUCCUCCUGUUUCACUUUAAGGACUACACCUGUUGUAGUGGUAUUUACCAAGAUUUCAUCACAAUAUUUUGGAAAUAAUAAAAUAAAAGCAAGUUCCUUUUGAGAAUGAGAGUAAAAAUUCCUUUUUUUUUUUUUUAAAUUUUUAUUUUUUAAAGUCUAGGAAAAAACAAACAAAAAACAACAAGGGGAUAUUCCUCCUGCCUAGUUCUCAAAGCUGGUAUUUUAUAAAUGACUCUGCCUCUUUUGUUCCAUUUAGGAGCAAAGCAAAAGCAGCAUCUUUAUGUUUUCCACAAGUUGAAACUCCUUUAUUAGUCACCUCAGAAACAUGUUCCUGGAAAACAAACUGAUCUGGGUUUAUAGGAUGAUUUUAAUUUUGAUC